rnacentral:rRNA from 1 species
AGUGAACGCUGGCGGUAGGCCUAACACAUGCAAGUCGAACGGCAGCACAGUAAGAGCUUGCUCUUACGGGUGGCGAGUGGCGGACGGGCGAGGAAUACAUCGGAAUCUACUUUUUCGUGGGGGAUAACGUAGGGAAACUUACGCUAAUACCGCAUACGACCUACGGGUGAAAGCAGGGGAUCUUCGGACCUUGCGCGAUUGAAUGAGCCGAUGUCGGAUUAGCUAGUUGGCGGGGUAAAGGCCCACCAAGGCGACGAUCCGUAGCUGGUCUGAGAGGAUGAUCAGCCACACUGGAACUGAGACACGGUCCAGACUCCUACGGGAGGCAGCAGUGGGGAAUAUUGGACAAUGGGCGCAAGCCUGAUCCAGCCAUACCGCGUGGGUGAAGAAGGCCUUCGGGUUGUAAGGCCCUUUUGUUGGGAAAGAAAAGCAGCAGGUUAAUACCCCGCUGUUCUGACGGUACCCAAAGAAUAAGCACCGGCUAACUUCGUG